rnacentral:rRNA from 1 species
GGACUACCCGGGUUUCUAAUCCUGUUUGCUCCCCUUGCUCUCGCGCCUCAGCGUCUGGUAAUAGCUAGAAAGCCGCUUUCGCCACAGGUGUUCUUCCACAUAUCUACGCAUUUCACCGCUACACGUGGAAUUCCACUUUCUCCGCCAUCCCUCAAGAUAUAUAGUUUCAAAUGCAGCUCCGAAGGUGAGCCUCGGAAUUUCACAUCUGACUUAUUUACCCGCCUACGCGCCCUUUACGCCCAAUUAUUCCGAUUAAUGCUUGCACCCUCCGUAUUACCGCGGCUGCUGGCAC